rnacentral:tRNA from 1 species
UCUAAUAUGGCAGAAUAGUGCAGUGAAUUUAAGCUUCAAAUAUAAAGAAAUCUUUUAUUAGAA